rnacentral:rRNA from 1 species
CCUACGGGAGGCAGCAGUGAGGAAUAUUGGUCAAUGGGCGAUAUCCUGAACCAGCCAAGUCGCGUGAGGGAUGACUGCCCUAUGGGUUGUAAACUUCUUUUGUCGGGGAAUAAAAUCCAGGACGUGUCCUGCUCUGCAUGUACCCGAUGAAUAAGCAUCGGCUAACUCCGUGCCAGCAGCCGCGGUAAUACGGAGGAUCCGAGCGUUAUCCGGUUUUAUUGGGUUUAAGGGGGGCGUAGGGGGUCGGUUAAGUCAGUGGUAAAAUUUGGGGGCUCAACCCCAUAGUGCCGUUGAAACUGGCAGACUUGAGUUGGCGAGAAGUACGCGGAAUGCGUGGUGUAGCGGUGAAAUGCAUAGAUAUCGCGAAGAACUCCGAUUGCGAAGGCAGCCUACUGGCGCGAAACUGACGCUGAGGCACGAAAGCGUGGGGAUCGAACAGGAUUAGAUACCCUAGUAGUC